GGAUUUAGGGUUUAGAGUUGAUGUUUCGGGGUUUAGAGUUUAGAGUUGAUGUUUCAUGGUUUAAGGUUUAGAGUUGAUGAUUUAGGGUUCAGAGUUGAUGUUUUAAGUUUAGAUUAGUUAAUCAUAUAUUUUUUUUGUCAAAGUUAAUCAAAAGGUUAUAAAUGUCUUUUAUCUUUCAUUAAAUAUGAGGGUAAAAUUGGUUAGUGUAAACAUGAAAAGUAGUACUUUGAAAAUUGUAUUUUUGACAAUUUCCCAAGAUUUUAGCUGAAACUUAAAAAUAUUAACUAUUCAUCACUUUUUGUUAAUCUAUACUAUAUUAAAAGGGUUAUAUGAGCAUCAGAGAGGAUGUCCACGUCAGACAAUAAAAUCAGCCAAUAGGAAAACAGCUCUCCGCCACGUCAGAUAGGCAAUGACAAAUCUAACUUUUUCCAAAAUGAAUCCCGGCCCCUUUCUCUUCGUCUUCUCCGUCUCUCGACAUUCCUAGAUCCAGAUUUUGUUUCUCCUUUUCUUUUCUCAUUCUCUUCCUUUACUUCAUAGUUGAUAGUACUUUCUGAUUUGUGUUGAGAGUAAGCAACGCGGCAAGAGAUGUGGAGGUGAAGUGUGCCAUGGAAGACGACGGUGGCUUAAGAUCGUUGAGGUGUAGCCGAGCACAGCGACGUCGGACCUGAAGAUAGUGGACCAUAGCCAUCUAUCCCACCGACCACCGUCAUCUCUAUCUCUCUCUUAAUUCAACGGCGGAGGAGGAUAAGUAUUAAAUCCCGGUAUGAAAGAUACUACAGGUAUGAAAGAUUGUCCGUUUUAUCUAAAAACUGUUCGGUUCGGUUAUGGUAGACAUGGCAUUUACAAUCAACUGUCCUACUCAUUCCCCACCGAUUGUAAGGCCAGAACUUUUGAUUGGAGAUUUGAUAAGAGAACUCAGAAGCUACACGACAGAAAGUCAAGAUAUAUGCCAGUGAAUAUGUUAACUAAACUGAAUGUGAUUUUAUGUUUAUACUUUCUUGAAUUCAUUUUAGGUUUGGUUUAACGUUGUCUUCGUAUUUUGAUUCUCAGGCUAGAACAAUGGAUUUGAGGGCGAGCAGAUCCACAUGGAUAUCAAGAUCCAAAUCAGAAGCCAAAGAUUCAGGCGAAUAAAGAUAAGUAGAGAUGUGAGAGACGUGACCAACAGCUUCUCGAACAAAAUCCAAAAAGACCACAUAAUUUCGCAGAGGAGAAGCUACAGUAGAGAAGAUAUGUGGUCAGAUCUCUGUUGGUCGAAACAUUGGUACCACUAGAGUUCUGAGAUCUGGUUGCAAGAUUAACUUCCUUAGGAGGAGGAGGCAGAGAUUAGCCUCACUCGAGAAGAAUAGAAAGAAGCUUGCUCCUGCCCCCAACAAACCGGACACGUUUUUGAUUGCUCCUGGAGUUAGCGUCCUGGCCGGGACGCUUUCUGCUGCUGAAAUUGCCUCUGUCAUUAACAAGUAUGGAUCUCCUCGCCCUAGAAUGGAAAGGUAAGACUAGAAGAAAACAAAAAAAAAAUUGCUUUGAUCAGAACGAAAAAAAACAUCAAGCAGAUGGAGGAGAACGGAAGUCUUUGCAGUAGCCAAAUGGUCGAGCGCUCCUCAAAAAUAUUUUAGAGAUGCAGUGAUCGAGAUGAUCAUAGAGAAUGGUAUCAACCACCAGGAAGAACUCAAAGAGGUUCUCAUUUGUUAUCUCAGAUUCAACACCGACGAAUAUCAUGUCGACAUGAACAUCAAUAUGUUUCAGCAGAUGUUUAAGACAUGGGAAAAAAUUAUGGAGGAAAGACUAAGGGGGAAACAAAAUGAUACUUAUAGCAAACUUGGGAGUGAAGAAACUGGUGUCUCAGUGGAAAAGGUGAAAGCGAAGUGGUGGGGGAAGUUAAGGAGUACUAGGUAUUAAUGGCCUGUUUCUUUUCUCGAGAUGCAGAUCUUUUUUUCAAAACACGUUUAGUGUCAUUUGAGGUUUUGGUUUUGUUGCUGAGAAGGUUCCAUGGCAUUAAAAUUGAGUUAUGUUUCUCAUGGCCAUCCAAAUCGUAUAUAAAAUUUAGUAAAUAAUUUUUAUUAAAUUUGCAUCUGUGAUGUCAGAGGAUACAAAAACAUGUGGCUGGCCAGCGUUGUGGAUUAUUUUUGUUAUCUGGAAAAAAAGGACAUGGAUUUUCAAAUCAGAAAUCAGUUUUUUAAGACUUUAACCAUCAUAUUUUACAACUAAAUUUGAAUUUUUAUUUUUCCAGAAAUUCCAAAAUUUUAUGUAUAAGGCCACAUAAACUCAAGAAUACACGAUUCAUUAAAUAAUUACUUUUACGUUCAAAUAAAAUAAGUUGUUUUAGUGAAUAUUUUAUAUUGACAUUUUCCUCUUUUCUGCUAUAUGACAUAUUCAUGUUAAACACAACAACAUUAGGUGGUUAGUGAAAUUCAACAAUCAGAAAAAGAUUUUCAAUAAACAAGUAUCAUCAGAUAAAAUUUAAAUUUUAUAGUUGAUUUGGUUACGAAGAUAGAAAAACCCUUCAAAAACAUAUUUCUAUGAAAGAUUUUGUUCAUGCAAAAUGGUCAAUGCUACAUAUAUUACAUUAUUUACAUUUUAAAUGUAUAAAAUAUAUAUCAAAAUAAUUUAUAUAAAUGGCUUGCAAGUAUUAAAAAUGAGAAAAUAAAAGAUUCCAAUUAGCCGAAAUAAAGCAGUACUAAAUACAUAUGAAGAACUCGACCAUAAAACAGUUUUACCUUUUCAAUUUGUAAAUAGUAAAAAAAAUUCUCAAAACAAAAAAUAUAUAAUCUCAUAUUUUUAUAAUUAUAUUUUCUAAAUCUACUUAAACUUAUACAUACAUAUACAACUAAUUGGUUGGCUAGCUAUACGCUAAAUGUCCUCUAACUGUUAAUAAUGAUUAGAAUGUACCAAAAUUUGAAUAUUUAAAUAGAAAUCUAAAGAGAACAAUAAAUAAACUAAUUAUUGGAAAACUAAACAAAUCCAUAAAAAUAAAGAUAAUAAACUAGGGUCAGUGGCUACAGUCAAUAGUUUAAAUCAAGUGGCUAUAGUCAAUAGUUUAAAUCUCAAAUUUUUAUUUUGCCAUGAAAAACAAAUUAUUUAACUAAUUUAUUAAUAAUAAAUUAGGACUUUGGACAAAAAUUAAGAAAAAAUAAUUAAAUAGCAAUUACUAUUUAUAAAAGAAAGUUUUGGCUAUUAAAAAAAAAUUAAAUCUAAAAAAUUACAUUGCGAAGAUUUUCUUUAAUUGUUACCUCCAGUCUAUUAUGUAUAUAUUAUUAGAUUUCCAUCUUUAUUUAUAAUAUUAUACCAAUUAAAUUUGUGUAAAGGUCAAUUUAGGUUAGAUCAUUACCAAUUGAUGCAUUUGGCUUCUCGCUAUACUACCUCCAUCAUAAACUGCUUAAUAUUUAACUUUAAGAGUCUAAAAUAAUAAUCGAAGUAUGUUUAUACUCUAACAUACAUACGAUAUUGCAAGGUUGUGUAUUUUAUACACAAUACUAAUGACAAAUAUAUCUGCAUGUGUAAUGCACAUAAUCAAUCCAAAGUACUUUAUGUAGUAUCUAAGCAUGAAAUCGUUUAUAAUGAAAUCUUCCACAGGUUUCACAGUAUUAUAAUAAACACUUAUUUACAAAAUAAUAAAUACCAAACACAUUUUAAAAUUGAACUAUCAUAUUAAAACAAAUAAAUGAUAUAAUAUAGCACAUAAUAAAAGUACUCUAUUUUAAACUUUUCUAUGUUUAAGUUAUACUCCCUCUAUUUCAAAAUUAUCAAUGUUUUGGAUAACAAAAAAAGUUUUAAAAGAUAUUUAUUUUUUUACAUUCUCAAUGUAUUUUUACUAGGUUAUAAUUGUAAAUUGUAAAUUGUAAACUUCGAAAUAAGCAAAUUGUGAUUACUGAAUUUUGACCGGUUAAAAAUUAUAGAAAAUAGUUAAUCACAAAGAAUAAUAUAUUUAUAAUCAAUAUAUAAGAUAAGUUUUUAUAUGUAUGAAAAUUUAAAACUUACAUCUUUUAAACAUUAAUCUAUAAACAAACAAACCGCGCGUAGCGCGGUAAAAUCUCUAGUUUUAAUAAUAAAUAAACAACAAAGAGUGAGAGGUUGUUCUGUGGAUUUUGUUUUUGGUUUUACUUUAGAAAAUAAUCUGUGAAUUGUUUUUUUUUGCUUUAAUUGUUUUGUUAUAUAUUUAUUUUCAAAGCACUGAAUUAAAUCUUUAGAAAAGUUGAUUUUGAAAACUAAUAUAUUAUUUUUUAAAAAAAUUAUACUGUAUCUUUAAUUUUAAAAGCUAAAUUAUGAUUGUUUAAAAAAAAAACAGAUUUAUAGAAAAAGUGAAUGUCUAAAACAUUUACCACCAUUACCAAUCAAUCUCUGAGUUUAUUCAUUUCAAAUUCGUUGGACAACAUAAUAAAUUAAUUUGCGUAUUAUUACUUAUAUUUUUGGUAGUCAAUUUUGAAAUAAUAUAUAUACAUGCUUUUAUAAAAAAUAAACAAGCUAAAAUUAAUUAAUAAUUAUAAGAAGAAAUU